AUACUUACCUGGCAGGGGAGACACCAUGAUCACGAAGGUGGUUUUCCCAGGACGAGGCUUAUCCAUUGCACUCCGGAUGUGCUGACCCCUGCGAUUUCCCCAAAUGUGGGAAACUUGACUGCAUAAUUUGUGGUAGUGGGGGCGGGGGGAGGAGAAGAACUGCCUUCA
rnacentral:snRNA from 1 species